CAGGUCAAGCGGCUACACCUUCUUCUCACUGUGAAGGAUACUGCUGCCAACGUCCCAAAAAAUCUUGAGGCAAGAAGAAGAUUGGAGUUUUUUACAAAUUCCUUAUUUAUGGAUAUGCCCCAAGCAAGGCCCGUUGCUGAAAUGGUACCAUUCAGUGUCUUCACCCCGUACUACAGUGAGACUGUGCUCUAUAGCUCCUCAGAACUGCGAAGUGAGAAUGAGGAUGGGAUAUCUAUUCUUUUUUAUCUUCAGAAAAUAUUUCCUG